UACGGGGGGAGCAAGCGUUGUUCGGAUUUACUGGGCGUAAAGGGCGCGUAGGCGGCGCAACAAGUCACUUGUGAAAUCUCCGGGCUUAACCCGGAGCGGUCAAGUGAUACUGUCGUGCUAGAGUGCGGAAGGGGCUACUGGAAUUCUCGGUGUAGCGGUGAAAUGCGUAGAUAUACGGAGGAACACCUGCGGCGAAGGCGGGUAGCUGGGCCAACACUGACGGCUGAGGAGCGAAAGCCAGGGGAGCGAACGGGG
rnacentral:rRNA from 1 species